GAUGAACGCUAGCGGCAGGCCUAAUACAUGCAAGUCGAACGAGAUUAAGAGGCUUGCUUCUUAUGAAAGUGGCGCACGGGUGCGUAACGCGUAUGCAACCUACCUUAAUCAGGGGGAUAGCCCGAAGAAAUUCGGAUUAAGACCGCAUAAAAACACAGGAUAGCAUUAUCCAAUGUUCAAAUAUUUAUAGGAUUAAGAUGGGCAUGCGUGUCAUUAGCUAGUUGGCGGGGUAACGGCCCACCAAGGCGACGAUGACUAGGGGAUCCGAGAGGAUGACCCCCCACACUGGUACUGAGACACGGACCAGACUCCUACGGGAGGCAGCAGUAAGGGAUAUUGGUCAAUGGAGGGAACUCUGAACCAGCCAUGCCGCGUGCAGGAAGACAGCCCUCUGGGUCGUAAACUGCUUUUAUUCGGGAAUAAACCUUUCUACGUGUAGGAAGCUGAAUGUACCGAAGGAAUAAGGAUCGGCUAACUCCGUG
rnacentral:rRNA from 1 species